rnacentral:rRNA from 1 species
AUUGAACGCUGGCGGCAUGCUUUACACAUGCAAGUCGAACGGCAGCACGGGCUUCGGCCUGGUGGCGAGUGGCGAACGGGUGAGUAAUGCAUCGGAACGUACCGUGUAGUGGGGGAUAACGUAGCGAAAGUUACGCUAAUACCGCAUACGCCCCGAGGGGGAAAGUGGGGGACCGCAAGGCCUCACGCUAUAUGAGCGGCCGAUGUCGGAUUAGCUAGUUGGUAGGGUAAAGGCCUACCAAGGCGACGAUCCCGUAGCGGGUCUGAGAGGAUGAUCCGCCACACUGGGACUGAGACACGGCCCAGACUCCUACGGGAGGCAGCAGUGGGGAAUUUUGGACAAUGGGCGCAAGCCUGAUCCAGCCAUGCCGCGUGAGUGAAGAAGG